UACGAGGGGGGCGAGCGUUGUUCGGAAUUAUUGGGCGUAAAGAGCGUGUAGGCGGCCAAGCAGGUCCGCUGUGAAAACUCGAGGCUCAACCUCGAGACGUCGGUGGAAACCGUUUGGCUAGAGUCCGGAAGAGGAGAGUGGAAUUCCCGGUGUAGCGGUGAAAUGCGCAGAUAUCGGGAAGAACACCCGUGGCGAAGGCGGCUCUCUGGGACGGUACUGACGCUGGGACGCGAAAGCGUGGGGAGCGAACAGG
rnacentral:rRNA from 1 species